GAUGAACGCUGGCGGCGUGCCUAAUACAUGCAAGUCGAGCGAACAGACGAGGAGCUUGCUCCUCUGACGUUAGCGGCGGACGGGUGAGUAACACGUGGAUAACCUACCUAUAAGACUGGGAUCACUUCGGGACACCGGAGCUAAUACCGGAUAAUAUAUUGAACCGCAUGGUUCAAUAGUGAAAGACGGUGUUGCUGGAACUUAUAGAUGGAUCCGCGCCGCAUUAGCUAGUUGGUAAGGUAACGGCUUACGAAGGCAACGAUGCGUAGCCGACCUGAGAGGGUGAUCGGCCACACGAGAACGGAGACACGCUCCAGACUCCUACGGGACGCAGCAGUAUGGAAUCUGCCGCAAUGGGCGAAAGCCUUACGGAGCAACGCCGCGUGAGAGAUGAAGGUCUUCGGAUCGUAAAACUCUGUUAUUAGUGAAGAACAAAUGUGGAAGUAACUAUGCACGUCUUGACGGUACCUAGUCAGAAAGCAACGGCUAACUACGUG
rnacentral:rRNA from 1 species